rnacentral:rRNA from 1 species
GAUGAACGCUGGCGGCGUGCCUAAUACAUGCAAGUCGAGCGAACAGACGAGGAGCUUACUCCUCUGACGUUAGCGGCGGACGGGUGAGUAACACGUGGAUAACCUACCUAUAAGACUGGGAUAACUUCGGGAAACCGGAGCUAGUACCGGAUAAUAUAUUGAACCGCAUGGUUCAAUAGUGAAAGACGGUUUUGCUGUCACUUAUAGAUGGAUCCGCGCCGCAUUAGCUAGUUGGUAAGGUAACGGCUUACCAAGGCAACGAUGCGUAGCCGACCUGAGAGGGUGAUCGGCCACACUGGAACUGAGACACGGUCCAGACUCCUACGGGAGGCAGCAGUAGGGAAUCUUCCGCAAUGGGCGAAAGCCUGACGGAGCAACGCCGCGUGAGUGAUGAAGGUCUUCGGAUCGUAAAACUCUGUUAUUAGGGAAGAACAAAUGUGUAAGUAACUAUGCACGUCUUGACGGUACCUAAUCAGAAAGCCACGGCUAACUACGUG